rnacentral:ncRNA from 1 species
AACGGCUGAGGUCGCGGAAGCUAUCAGUACGUCCCCGGACCGGCAAUUGCCGGGAACAGGAAAGGAGCUUCCGCCGAAGGGUUUGCCUGAUGCCAAGCGGGCAUUUCCUGGGGUCACGCAGAAUAUGCGUGGAACUGUCAUCCUACGGAUGGAGUGCUGCCGG